rnacentral:rRNA from 1 species
AGCUCCAAUAGCGUAUAUUAAAGUUGUUGCGGUAAAAAAGCUCGUAGUUGGAUUUCUGUUGAGAACGACCGGUCCAUACCAUGUAUGCGCAUCUGGCUCGGCCUCGGCAUCCUCUCGAUAGACGUUCCUGCGCUUGAUUGCGUGGGGCGGAUUUCGGGACUUUUACUUUGAGGAAAUUAGAGUGUUCACGGCAGGCUUUCGCCAGAAUACAUUAGCAUGGAAUAAUAAUAUAGGAUCUCGGUUCUAUUUUGUUGGUUUCUAGGAUUGAGAUAAUGAUUAAUAGGGACAAUUGGGGGCAUUCGUAUCAACGCGUCAGAGGUGGAAUUCUUGGA